rnacentral:rRNA from 1 species
AGCAGCCGCGGUAAUUCCAGCUCCAAUAGCGUAUAUUAAAGUUGUUGCAGUUAAAAAGCUCGUAGUUGAAUUUCGGGAUUAGUACGCUGGUCGUGCCUUUGGUAUGUACUGGUGUUACUGAUUCCUACCUUCUGACGAACCAUCAUGUCAUUCAUUUGGUGUGGCGGGGAAUCAGGACUGUUACUUUGAAAAAUUAGAGUGUUUAAAGCAGGCUCGCGCUUGAAUACAUUAGCAUGGAAUAAUGAAAUAGGACGUUUGAUCCUAUUUUGUUGGUUUCUAGGAUUGACGUAAUGAUUAAUAGGGAUAGUUGGGGGCAUUAGUAUUCAAUUGUCAGAGGUGAAAUUCUUGGAUUUAUUGAAGACUAACUACUGCGAAAGCAUUUGCCAAGGAUGUUUUCAUUAAUCAAGAACGAAAGUUAGGGGAUCGAAGACGAUCAGAUACCGUCGUAGUCUUAACCAUAAACUAU